GGGGAAGUAAACCCGGACCGAAAGUACGGACGUAAUAACCGACCAUAAAACAAGGGGACGACCGCAUGGUGAUAUUUGUUAAAGAAAUUACGCUGAUAGAUGGGCAUGCGUUCCAUUAGGUAGUUGGUGAGGUAACGGCUCACCAAGCCGACGAUGGAUAGGGAACUGAGAGGUUGGUCCCCCCACACUGGUACUGAGACACGGACCAGACUCCUACGGGAGGCAGCAGUGAGGAAUAUUGGUCAAUGGGCGGGAGCCUGAACCAGCCAAGUCGCGUGAAGGAAGAAGGAUCUAUGGUUCGUAAACUUCUUUUGCAGGGGAAUAAAGUGCAGGACGUGUCCUGUUUUGUAUGUACCCUGAGAAUAAGGAUCGGCUAACUCCGUGCCAGCCGCCGC
rnacentral:rRNA from 1 species